UAGGGAAUAUUGGACAAUGGGUGAGAGCCUGAUCCAGCCAUGCCGCGUGCAGGAAGAAGGCGUUAUGCGUUGUAAACUGCUUUUUGCCAGGGGAUAAAAAGACCGUGCGCGGUUAAUUGAAGGUACCUGGUGAAUAAGCCACGGCUAACUACGUGCCAGCAGCCGCGGUAAUACGUAGGUGGCAAGCGUUGUCCGGAUUUAUUGGGUUUAAAGGGCGCGUAGGUGGCCCUGUAAGUCAGUGGUGAAAUAUCUCAGCUUAACUGAGAGGGUGCCAUUGAUACUGCAGGGCUUGAGUACAGAUGAGGUAGGCGGAAUUGACGGUGUAGCGGUGAAAUGCGUAGAGAUCGGGAGGAACAUCCGUGGCGAAGGCGGCUCUCUGGACCAGCACUGACGUUGAGGCACGAAAGCGUGGGGAGCAAACAGGAUUAGAUACCCAUGUAGUCCCUGAGCGGGCUGGCAAGGCGCAU
rnacentral:rRNA from 1 species